rnacentral:rRNA from 1 species
UACGAGGGGGGCUAGUGUUGCUCGGAAUUACUGGGCGUAAAGCGCACGUAGGCGGAUUGUUAAGUCGGGGGUGAAAUCCUGGAGCUCAACUCCAGAACUGCCUUCGAUACUGGCGAUCUCGAGUUCGGGAGAGGUGAGUGGAACUGCGAGUGUAGAGGUGAAAUUCGUAGAUAUUCGCAAGAACACCAGUGGCGAAGGCGGCUCACUGGCCCGAUACUGACGCUGAGGUGCGAAAGCGUGGGGAGCAAACAGG